rnacentral:rRNA from 1 species
AGCAGUCGCCGCGGUAAUACGAAGGGUGCAAGCGUUACUCGGAAUUACUGGGCGUAAAGCGUGCGUAGGUGGUGGUUUAAGUCCGUUGUGAAAGCCCUGGGCUCAACCUGGGAAUUGCAGUGGAUACUGGGUCACUAGAGUGUGGUAGAGGAUAGUGGAAUUUCCGGUGUAGCAGUGAAAUGCGUAGAGAUCGGAAGGAACAUCUGUGGCGAAGGCGACUAUCUGGGCCAACACUGACACUGAGGCACGAAAGCGUGGGGAGCAAACAGGAUUAGAUACCCGCGUAGUCCCUGUCUCUUAUAA